UCCGUAGGUGAACCUGCGGAAGGAUCAUUAACACUAAUCCAUCUCAACUCAACGAAGCCUUCAGUUGCCUCAGCAGCGCUUGCCUUGUGCAGUGCAGCUGGAGCAGCAAACACAAACUUAAUCACGCAAAGAAGCAUAACUAAGCUCAAUUUUAAAUCCAAAUUCUCAACGAUGGAUAUCUUGGUUCCCAUAACGAUGAAGAACGCAGCGAAGUGCGAUAAGCAAUGCGAAUUGCAGAACCGUGAGUCAUCAGAUUUUUGAACGCAACUGGCGCCGACUGGCUCUCCAGUCGGCAUGCUUGUUUCAGUGUCUCUUUAUCUCAUCACCCAAAUCAUAAUGCGAGAGAUGCCCUUCUCUUGCUAAGCAUGAAAGCACUCUGCGCUCUGCGAGCGGCUUCGACUAGUUCGAGGGUCGCACUCAAUGCAGCAGUCACAUUGCUCACAAUGUGAACUCAUUGAGAGCUGAGGCAGUGCGGUGUAAACCCGUUAGUGCUUAGUCACACAAUCUUUCAUUGGCAUCUGGAAAUCAAGGCAGGGGGACCCACCCCGGCUGGAACUUAAGGCAUAUCAUAAGGCGGGGAGGGGAAGGUCGGACUGGCCAAGGGGGCACACAGGGGGGGGGGAUA
rnacentral:rRNA from 1 species